UACGUAGGGCGCAAGCGUUGUCCGGAAUUAUUGGACGUAAAGAGCUUGUAGGCGGUUUGUCGCGUCUGCCGUGAAAAUCCGGGGCUCAACCCCGGACUUGCGGUGGGUACGGGCAGACUAGAGUGUGGUAGGGGAGACUGGAAUUCCUGGUGUAGCGGUGAAAUGCGCAGAUAUCGGGAGGAACACCAAUGGCGAAGGCAGCUUGCUGGGACGGUACUGACGCUGAGGCGCGAAAGCGUGGGGAGCAAACAGG
rnacentral:rRNA from 1 species